AUGGUUGUUAGAGCAGCCUGGCGCUGAGUCAGCUGCUGUGGACCUUGAGCCGCAGUAAAGCAGUUAUCGAGUGGCAUUUAGAGUGGUCCAUACAGGAGCAGGCACUGCUGAAUGCACACACUACAUGGUUGAAGGAGUCGCUUAAACAAAUCCGGCUAGAGAGAGAUGAAUAUGCUCAACAUAUAAAAGAAGAGAGGGCCCAGUGGCAGCAGAGGAUGAGGAAAAUGUCGCAGGAGGUUCACACAUUGAAGAAGGAGAAGUAUGAAACACAUCGGGGAGAGAAGCUGGAGAGGAGCUUGUCCAAACUCAAAAACCAGAUGGCUGAACCCCUGCUCCCGGAGCCUCCAGCAGUGCCCUCUGAGGUGGAGCUGCAGCACCUGAGGAAGGAGGUUGAGAGUGGCAGCAGAACUCCAAGCCCAGGUGGACAACAAUAAGCGCAUGAGUGUCCUGAUAUUGGGGCAAAAGAAGAGGCUUCAGGAGCAGGAUGAGAGGCUUCGGGAGCAGGACGCGAGGCCUCAGCAGCUGGCCGAGCCACAGAGUAGCUUCGAGGAGCUGAACAAGAACAAAAGUGCACUGCAGUUGGAGCGGCAAGUAGAGGAGCUGCAGGAGAAGCUUGGCGAGGAGUGCCUGGAAGCUGCCAGCCAGCAAAACCAGCCCCUACAGGCCCAGUUGAGCCUCAUGGCUCUCCCUGGGGAAGGAGAUGGAGGAGGACAUCUGGACAGUGAGGAGGAGGAGGCACCUCGGCCCAUGCCGAGCAACCCGGAGGACCUGGAGAGCUGGGAGGCCACGGUUGCAUUUUUCAACUCCGCUGGAGCCAAUGCCCAGGAGGAGCAGGCAUGGUUACAAGAGCAGGUGAAAGAGCAGAGGGUGUGCUGCCAGCGCAUGGCUCACCUGGUGGCCUCAGUCCAGAAGGAGCCAGAGGCAGCGGUCCCAGCCCCAGUGACUGGGGGCGACUCUGUGAGUGGGGAGACCCACCAGGCU
rnacentral:lncRNA from 1 species